rnacentral:tRNA from 1 species
GCCUGUAGCUCAGUUGGUUAGAGCAGUGGACUCAUAAUCCAUUGGUCGAGUGUUCGAGUCACUCCAGGCC